GGUAUCCCCGCCCCCAUAGGUGGCCCCGCCCUCAUAGGAGCCCCGCCCCCCUAGGAGCCCCGCCCCCAUAGGUAGCCCUGCUGUGCCCAGAGACACUUCACAAAAGUUGAAACCGCAGCCGCGUGCGAGGCGGUGUGUGGAUUCAAGGUCCUAAGGUGGUUGGCCUCGAGGACAGGCGUGCUGCGUGCCUCUCUGGGUGGCCCUAAUGGCGGGGCUUCAGCCUCAGCCUCUGCUCCUGUGCUCCCCGCACACGCGGUCCCGGGCCACGGGAUGCCGCAGGCUUGCGGGGCAGGGACUGCGACUCUGCGUCUAGAACGGUCCCGGCACCAAGCAGGUGACUGGGCGGUGUCCGUGGAAUAUUCCAACAGCUGGGAGUAGGCAUGGAAGCGUUUUGGAAGGACAACACGGAACAAUGCCCGUCCUGGAAUGUUACGUGGACUCUGAGCCUCAGUUUCCUCCCCUGUGAAAUGGGAUGAUCACAGUGUCGCCCCGCGGGGGUGUUGGGGGAGGGGUGAAGGAGAGGAGGCCGGAAGAGAGUAAGUGCGUGCCCGAUAAAUCACAGCUGUUGGGAUCAUUGAUGUGGGAAGGAGACGGGUAGGCAGUACACCAUGCUGUUGAGCGGUUCACUGCCCAGCGGGCGUUAAGUUUCAUUUGCUUCUUUCGACCUCUGUCUUCCUCGUGUUUCUCAACAAACAGAAUAAAACCAUGAGUGCCAGGGGAUUGGGGGUCCCCAACCUCCCUGGCUGGUGAGUAAACCGUCGUCCUAGACUUCCUGCUGUGCUCACGGGAAGGCUGUGAGCCCGUGGUCUUCACCUGGGGGUGACACUGCCCUCCAGGAGACAUUGCCACGUCUGCGAAUAUUUUUGGUUGUACCCCUGGCAUCCAGUAGGUGGUCGGGGUGGCUGCUAACCACCCUGCAGUGCACAGGGCAGCCUCCCCCUCCCCCCCCCCCAUUGGGGGGGGAAGUGUCUGGUCCAAGAGGUCAAGGGUGCCGAGGUGAAGAAGCCCUGCUAUCCUCACUCGGCAGUGAGAGACCCACAGAGCUCCCCUUCCCAGAGGUUCUCAGGGACCCAGAUGGGUUUCUGCGUGCCGGGGGAGGCUGGUGGCCGGAAGGCUGUAGCCAUAGCUGCCGGGGGGAGGCUGGAGAGCCGCAUGCCCAUGCCCGAGGUGGGCAAAACGAGAAUGCCCUCUCUGGGCCUCAUGACAGACCAGAGCGCCAAAGUGGCACUGACACAGUCCCCUUUCCGAGGCACACGAACCCUGCCAGGGGAGUCAUGGGCACAGGGAACCACACUCCCCUCCAGUCUCAGCGUUGGUUCCAAGCUGCUCCCCACUCCCUUGGGUUCAUUCUUUCCAGAGACCCUGCUGUCCAGGCUCUGGGCCCCCAGGAGGGACAGGCUUCAAGCGAUUUCCUACAGAGUUUCAGCGGUGCCUCAGCAAAUCACCAGGUGCAAAUGAACACGCAGGACAAUAUUCUCCCUCUUCCUGCCUUCUGGCCCCCAUGAGCCUUCUUGCUCUUUCUUCUUCACAUGCUCCUGCCUCAGGCCCUUUGCACUUGCUGUUUCCUGUAUCUGAUGUUGUCUUCCCAGAUGUCUGCCCGGCUGGCCUUGUCUCACCCUUUUGGCCUCAGCUUGCUGUCCCCUCUUCUGAGAGGUCUUCUCUGCAGCCCAGACCUUGGGUCUCCUUUCCCACACCCCCUUUUCCGGUCCAGCACUGAUAACCAUCUGGAGCGAGGUGGAGAUAAUGAAUUUUGUUGUGCAAGGGCGGGGCCCCUGUUCCUCAUGUUCCCUCUCCCCUCGUCACUGUGCCUGGCGCACAGUAGAGGUUCAGGGAGCAUUUACUGAAUGAACUAACGAGCAAGGGAGGCUGUGCACGGGUGUGGGAGGGAGGCAGAGCAGUGACGGAAUUAACAAAAGCCGUCAGCACCGGGUGGGCGGAGACCAAGGGAACCUUAGGUGUAAGGCUUGGAGUCCGGCAGACCUGGUUCGAAUCCCGGCUCCCCUGCUUACCAGUUGCAGGAUGGUGGACACUCCGCUAACCUCCGGGAGCCUCAGCUUCCACACCUGCGAAAUGGGGAGAGGAGUCCUUGCUGAUCCUAAGGCCACGGGAGAGGCCACGACCGUGCGCGUGGCUGGCACACCGGAGGCGCCUGGUUACUGCCCAUCUGGGGAGAGAUGGUCCCUGGCUUCCGGGCAGACACGGACCACCUGAGCGGCACCGCGGGGGCCUCCGCGGCCCGAACCUCAAAGCUCCGCCCCUGCGGUUUGGGGCGCAAACCCCCGCCCUGCUGAGCUCUCUGUCUUUUGGCCUAAAAUUAGCUCACAAAUUCCUUGGCUGCCUGGCCGGUGCUUCCAACCGACAAUUCAAACCAGAUGUUUCCAGCUGUCGGGCCCAUCCCCCCCCCCCCCCUCCCCGGCCCGCGCCCGCGUGUGUCCCUGCUCGAGGAGGUCUGAAUUAACCCCCGGGGAGAGCAGCCCGCUGGCCACACUCAGGAGCCCUGGCUGCGUGGCGGAUGCAGGGGUGUGGAGGGGAGCCCCAGGCCCGCAGGCACACCCCCUUCAGGGAUGGGGGCGCCCCCUGACGACUGACCUGCUGGCGGGUGACGGCCACCGGGCCUAAUUGCUCUGCCCCUUUCCAUCCGGUAGCAUUAUGGAGUGCCUGCUGUAUGCCAGGCUUCUGUGUUCGCUGCUGUCCAGAUGGUGAGACAAGCAUUCUCAGUCCCAGGUGUCGCUUGGUUGCUGAUAUUAUUAUUAUUAUUAUUAGCAUAUUUAUUUAAUGCCAGGUGCCAAGGCUCAUUGAUUUCUCACGAUAACCCAGGGGUGUGGGGGUUAUUAUUACUCCCAUUUUACAGAUGAGGAAAUCGAGGCCCAGGGCGGUGGAGUAACCUAGCCCAAGGGCCCUCAGCUCCAAAGGAACAGAACCCAGAGGUCCCCGAAGGGCAGGUAGUCUUGGCUCCUCCUGGGUGGGUUUGACUUCUCUGUUGUCACCCCCCAUGUGGCCCUUUUCCAUGUGGCGGGUGGGUCUGGAUGUCAUGGAAGGACCUCUCUGCGAGGAUGUCCCUGGGCCCAGCAGGCAGCUGGAACCCCCCACAAGCCAAGUUUCUGUCCCAGCUGAGUCAGGAGCUGGUGGUCAGGGUGGAAGGAACCACGGGGAGGCUGGGAAUCUGUGUGGCUUUUGUGAGGGCCUCAUACAGAGCCCCUUCUCCCCAGAGAUGGGACCCAGAGCCAUCUCUUGGUCAGAGUCCUGGAGAGAAAGAGUGUGUGUGUGUGUGUGUGUGUCUGUUGGGGGUGGGAAAAGAGGAGAAAGCCUUGACACAAGGAGAGAUGUGGUGGAGGGUUUGCCCACACAGGGACCCAUGACUGGCCUUCUUCACCUACAGUAAAAGCCCAGAUCCCUGCCAACGCCCACAGAGGCCCUGCACGGUCUGGCCCCGGUGCCCUCUAACCUCCCACUGUCCCCUCACUCACUCUGUUCCAACCACGCCAGAUACUUCUUUUCCUCUCCUUGAAAAUGCCAGGCUCCCCCUACCGCAGGACCUUUGCACCUGCUCUUCUCGCUGCCUGGAAUGCUCUUCCUCUGAUCAUCUCUCUCACUCACUCUCUCACAGCCUUCAGGGCUUCGCUGGAAUGUCCCCCUUUCCCUGACCUUUUCCUGACUUAUAUAUCACUAAGUUGUCACUUUAACCAUCUUCCUUGUUCCACUAGAAUAUAAGCUCCGUCAGGACAGGGAUUUUUACCUUUGUUGUUCUCUGCUGUAGCCCCAGAGCUUAGAAAGCACCUGGCAUGUAGUAUGUGCUCAGUAAGUACUGAGAGAGAGACAGAGAGAGAGAGAGAGAGGGAGAAAGAAAGAAAAGAGAAGAAGGAAUUUAGGGAGGGAAGAGGAGACAGAAGGUCUUGGUGUAAAGUGAGCGGGCAGAAAGAAAGCAGGAGAAAUGUGGGGUGAGGUACUGGGUGUUUGGGUGACUUAGGGCCCCCCAAAGUUCAGCCCCAAGCCCUCCCCACUUCUCGCUCUUGGCCAGCAGCCCUCUCCUCAAAGUCAGGCACCCCACCCCCUUCCCAAUAGGGCUGCAAAGGAAUUCAGAAGCACCAUCUGAUUCCGUCCCACGAUGGGGUAGCGGGUGGGGCGGGGGCAGUGGAGACCGCGGUGGGGGGGGCACGACGUGCCCGAGGGCACCCAGUGGGCAGGGCCAGAUGGGGAGGGUGAGGCCAGGUCUGCGGUGUUUACAUUCCUGCCCUCCCAGAUGGCUUCCGUGCGGGGCUAGCGAGGCGAGGCGCUCCUUGCACCGGCCGGGCCGCGGGGAAUGUAAAUGUUUACAAGGCAGCGCGCAGCUGGCCGGGCCACCAGAGCCACGGGAAGCCAGAGAUCCUACCGGCUCCUGUGCCCCCCUCCAAAAAAAGAGGGCGAUGCAGCGUUCCUUUUUUUUUUCCAGAAAACUUUUCAUCGAGUCAUAACCUACGUAAAACACACGAAUCUCAAGGGUGCAUGUUGAUUCCUCCCUACGCACGCGCCCGUGUAACCGCCACCCAGGUCUAGAUAGCAUACGCUUCCAGCCCUAGAAGGUUCCUUUGUGCCUCUUUCCGGCCAACACCACCACCACCCCCCGCCAAGGUAACUGCUCCUCUGACUUCUGUUCCCGUAGCUUAGUUUUGCAUUUGUUCUAGAACUUCGUGUAAAUGGCAUCACCCAGUGUGUGUUCUCCCGGGUCCAUUCUUUCGCUGGGCGUGUUGAUGGGACUUAUCCACGCCGUAUGCCCCCGGCCUCUUCCUUUCGCUGCUGAGAAGCGCUCUCCUGCAUCGAGGUACCAGUCUGUUCACCCGUUUUUCUGUUGGUGGACAUUGGGGCUGCUUCCAGUGUUUUCUGCCCUGGUAGAUUAACGCGGUCAUGGAUAUUUUUGUCUCUGUGUGGAUGUGUGUUUUUAUUUCUCUUGGGUAGAUACCUACGAAGGAGGUUGCUGGACCAUCCGGGAAGUGGACGGCUAACUUUGUGGGAGCUGCCAGACCGUUUUCCAAAGUGGCUGUGCUGUUUUGCUCUCCCGUCCAUCGUGGGUCUCCCUUCUACGCUGUGAGCUCUGUGCCCGUGUUUGCUCAUCACUGUCUCCCAGAGCCUGACACCGGCUGGGUGUAAAGUAAACGUCACGAGAUAUUUGUAGAACGAACGAAGGGCGGAGUGUGAGAGCGUCGGGACCUCAGCGUUGGCAGCCUCGUGGCAGAGAUCUGGCCCAAGCCCAUUUAGCUGCAGCCCAGAGAGGGGCAGCGAUUUGCCCAGCCCCCCACAGUUGGUGAGACACAGGGAGGGGCUGGCGAAGAAACAAGGGCUCUGAUCUCCACACGCUGUUGGAGCUAGGUCACGCUGCUGUGAACCUCAGUUUCCACAUCUGUCAAAUGGGAUGUGCUUAUCCAUCCACCUCUCCCCCAGGCACUUACGGAGCCUGCUGGGCUUGAGGCACAGCGGUGGGCUCCAUGGAGGGGAGGGACGCCCGGUACUUUGGAGGGUGGCUGACUCAACUUUGCAGGAAGCAAGUAAUAACAUUCGCUCUCAGUGUGGGAGGCAGAAUGAGGCCCCUCCCCCAGAGAUGUCCACAUCCCGAGCCCUGGAACCUACAGAUGGGAAUGUGUCACCCGGCAUGGCAAAGGGCUUUGCGGAUGGGAUUAGGUUAAGGACAGGAGGUGGUGAGGUCAUCCUGGGCUAUCUGGGUGAGCCCAAUGUCAUCCCAAGGGUCCUUGAAAUUGGGAGAGCGGUUUGGAAGAGAGCCAGGGGGAUGUAGUGUGAGAACCUAGCCCAUGGCAGCUGGCCGUGAAGACGGAGAAAGAGCCCAUAAGCAGGGGAACUCAGGCGGCUUCUAGAUCCCUCCCCCGAACCCUCCGUGAUGAACGGAGCCCUGCCGACACCGUGCUUUUCACCCGGUGAGACCCCGUUUCUGACUUCUGGCUGCCAGUACCGUGAACAACAGAUGUGUGCUGUUUAA